UAAUACGAAGGGGGCUAGCGUUGCUCGGAAUCACUGGGCGUAAAGAGCGUGUAGGCGGCCAGGUAGGUCUGCUGUGAAAACUCGAGGCUCAACCUCGAGACGUCGGCGGAAACCAUCUGGCUAGAGUCCGGAAGAGGAGAGUGGAAUUCCUGGUGUAGCGGUGAAAUGCGCAGAUAUCAGGAAGAACACCCGUGGCGAAGGCGGCUCUCUGGGACGGUACUGACGCUGAGACGCGAAAGCGUGGGGAGCGAACAGGA
rnacentral:rRNA from 1 species